rnacentral:rRNA from 1 species
UUUUAAAUUUAGAGUUUGAUCCUGGCUCAGGACGAACGCUGGCGGCGUGCUUAACACAUGCAAGUCGAGCGAUGAAGCUUCCUUCGGGAAGUGAAUUAGCGGCGGACGGGUGAGUAACACGUGGGUAACCUGCCUCAAAGUGGGGGAUAGCCUUCCGAAAGGAAGAUUAAUACCGCAUAAUAUGAGAGAAUCGCAUGAUUUUCUUAUCAAAGAUUUAUUGCUUUGAGAUGGACCCGCGGCGCAUUAGCUAGUUGGUAAGGUAACGGCUUACCAAGGCAACGAUGCGUAGCCGACCUGAGAGGGUGAUCGGCCACAUUGGAACUGAGACACGGUCCAGACUCCUACGGGAGGCAGCAGUGGGGAAUAUUGCGCAAUGGGGGAAACCCUGACGCAGCAACGCCGCGUGGGUGAUGAAGGUCUUCGGAUUGUAAAGCUCUGUUUUCUAGGACGAUAAUGACGGUACUAGAGGAGGAAGCCACGGCUAACUACGUGCCAGCAGCCGCGGUAAUACGUAGGUGGCGAGCGUUGUCCGGAUUUACUGGGCGUAAAGGGUGCGUAGGCGGAUGUUUAAGUGGGAUGUGAAAUCCCCGGGCUUAACCUGGGGGCUGCAUUCCAAACUGGAUAUCUAGAGUGCAGGAGAGGAAAGCGGAAUUCCUAGUGUAGCGGUGAAAUGCGUAGAGAUUAGGAAGAACACCAGUGGCGAAGGCGGCUUUCUGGACUGUAACUGACGCUGAGGCACGAAAGCGUGGGUAGCAAACAGGAUUAGAUACCCUGGUAGUCCACGCCGUAAACGAUGGAUACUAGGUGUAGGGGGUAUCAACUCCCCCUGUGCCGCAGUUAACACAAUAAGUAUCCCGCCUGGGGAGUACGGUCGCAAGAUUAAAACUCAAAGGAAUUGACGGGGGCCCGCACAAGCAGCGGAGCAUGUGGUUUAAUUCGAAGCAACGCGAAGAACCUUACCUGGACUUGACAUCCCUUGCAUAGCCUAGAGAUAGGUGAAGCCCUUCGGGGCAAGGAGACAGGUGGUGCAUGGUUGUCGUCAGCUCGUGUCGUGAGAUGUUAGGUUAAGUCCUGCAACGAGCGCAACCCUUGUUAUUAGUUGCUACCAUUAAGUUGAGCACUCUAAUGAGACUGCCUGGGUAACCAGGAGGAAGGUGGGGAUGACGUCAAAUCAUCAUGCCCCUUAUGUCCAGGGCUACACACGUGCUACAAUGGUAGGUACAAUAAGACGCAAGACCGUGAGGUGGAGCAAAACUUAUAAAACCUAUCUCAGUUCGGAUUGUAGGCUGCAACUCGCCUACAUGAAGCUGGAGUUGCUAGUAAUCGCGAAUCAGAAUGUCGCGGUGAAUACGUUCCCGGGCCUUGUACACACCGCCCGUCACACCAUGAGAGCUGGUAACACCCGAAGUCCGUGAGGUAACCGUAAGGAACCAGCGGCCGAAGGUGGGAUUAGUGAUUGGGGUGAAGUCGUAACAAGGUAGCCGUAGGAGAACCUGCGGCUGGAUCACCUCCUUUCUA